rnacentral:rRNA from 1 species
CAUGGGGGCUAUACUGGCGUUGUUCCACCUGUUCCCAUACCGAACACAGAAGUGAAAUACGCCAAGGCCGAUGAUAGUGGUUUUAUACCGCGAAAGUAGGUAGCCCCCGUGA